GAUACCAGUGAUAUAAUAACUGGUUAUUUUAUUUUAAAUUAGAGAUUCUUCACAAGUUUGUUCAUAAAUGAUUGACAAAAUCUUAAUGCGUUCUAAAUUUCGAGGUACCCUUCUGGGUGCCUUGAUAGGCGAUUGCUGCGGGGCACCUUUCGAAGGACAAAUCAUGGACAGCGGUACCAAAUUAGUACUAAAGAACAAUCUGGAUAGGUUAGAGGGACCUUUUUUCAAAGCUCCUUACAAGAAGUAUACAGACGAUACUGCCAUGACAAAAUGCGUAGCUAACACGAUACUUGAUUCUAAAGGAUUUUCUCAAACGCUCCUCGCAAAAAACUUUGUUGUGGAAUACUUUAAAGAUCCUAGACGCGGCUACGGAGCUGCAGUUGUUGAUGUAUUCGCCAAACUCCGUAAUACUAAAAUUGCUGAUCCGACUGGUCCAGCGGCGGCUCAGUUCGGUGGUACUGGUUCAUAUGGCAAUGGAGCGGCUAUGAGAAUUUCUCCUGUUGCUCUCUUUUGUGCAAAUCGAAACAAACAGGAGCUGGUGCAAUUGGUGCGCGAUUCAUCUCUCGUUACUCACAGCAAUGUAUUAGGAGUAAAUGGAGCAAUAUUGCAAGCUUUAGCCAUACACCAAUGUUUGCAAUUAAAUCCAAAAGAUAUGUUUGAUAGAAAGCAGUAUAUAUCACAAUUAAAAGCUGAUAUAGCCGCUUUGGAAAGCGCAAACGAUCCGGACUUAGAUGCAAAUUCCAAUGCAUAUAUGAAUCAGCUUCAUGCAAUGGAACAACUUUUAGAAGAUAAAGUGGAAUCAAAUGAUGAAAAUGUGUUGAAUACACUGGGGCAUAGUGUUGAAGCAUUGUAUUCAGUUCCGACCGCAAUAUUCUGUUUCCUAAAAUGUUUAUCUGGAACAAUCAACGAUCUUCACCCCACAGCAAAGGAGUUGGAUACCUGAGACACUUUAUGUCCGCCAGACAUAGCCGAUCUGGUAUUUACAAUAUCCUCUUUCUGUCGCUCCUUAAGCCGGGAGAUAGAAACAACCGGCCAAACGGUGAAGGAGAAUCUGGCCAAAAUGGACAUUUUUAUGCGGAAGCGUCAUACGAGACUGGCAGUAUCUGAGCAGCAGGCAAUCAACCAAAAGGAGUAGCUUCAAGUGCUGGUGAAAAAUUUCUUUCCGGCGAAAGAAGUGAAAAACUUCUUUUCGUCCUCAUAAUGGAAGACAAGACGUGCUUGAUGCUAGAAUUCAACGAAUGGCCGGGGACCGGGUACUUUACGUUCCCCAGGUAAGCGAUGACGUCGAAUAUAUCAUCCACAUCAAGUUCUCGAAGAAGGUCUUUCUCUGACAGACGAGAAGGGAAUGUCCAACCGCUCUUCUUUCGAGUCAUAUGGUGAACGGGGAACGAGUACGAAGUGCUUGCCGAAACUUGCGAAGCUGAUGUGGUCUUUAUACCGAAACGGGGAUCAGCCCAUUAUGCCAAAAGAUCACUGGAGAAUGGAUAAUGGAUUGACUGGAGAUAAACAUUGUCGCGUAGACCGCCAACCUUCCCAACAUACCCCAGCUGCGGCCUAUAGAAAACUUUUAAGCGAAUGGCCAAAAUGAAGAGAUAGCUGACUACCAAAGCCACGGAAAGUCUCCGCAGCUUUCAUUCCGUUCCACGCUUGAGUAUGCGAUUUCAUUAGGAGGAGAUACCGACACGAUUGCAAGCAUGGCAAGUUCCAUCUGCGGGGCAUAUUUCGGUGAUGCAAUUAUUUCGAAAAAUCUUAUCAAACAUUGUGAGGAUGCAGACAAUAUGAUAAUCCUAGCGGAUAGAUUGUUUGAUUUGUAGAUAAAACUAUAUAUGAAUAGAUUGCAGUUUGUUUAGAA